GAUUUUUGGCGCAGUCGGUAAGAGGGUUGAUUGGUACGCAAUUGGUCCGGGGUUCGACCCCCCGUUAUGGUCA